rnacentral:tRNA from 1 species
GUAGCUCAGCUGGAUAGAGCGUUGCCCUCCGAAGGCAAAGGUCACACGUUCGAAUCGUGUCGGGUGCGCCA